CCUACGGGAGACAGCAGUGGGGAAUAUUGCACAAUGGGGGAAACCCUGAUGCAGCGACGCCGCGUGGGUGAAGGAGUAUUUCGGUAUGUAAAGCCCUAUCAGCAGGGAAGAUAAUGACGGUACCUGACUAAGAAGCCCCGGCUAACUACGUGCCAGCAGCCGCGGUAAUACGUAGGGGGCAAGCGUUAUCCGGAUUUACUGGGUGUAAAGGGAGCGUAGACGGCGAUGCAAGCCAGAUGUGAAAGCCCGGGGCUCAACCCCGGGACUGCAUUUGGAACUGUGUGGCUGGAGUGUCGGAGAGGCAGGCGGAAUUCCUAGUGUAGCGGUGAAAUGCGUAGAUAUUAGGAGGAACACCAGUGGCGAAGGCGGCCUGCUGGACGAUGACUGACGUUGAGGCUCGAAAGCGUGGGGAGCAAACAGGAUUAGAUACCCGAGUAGUC
rnacentral:rRNA from 1 species